rnacentral:rRNA from 1 species
ACAUCCAGAGAAUUUAGCAGAGAUGCUUUAGUGCCUUCGGGAACUCUGAGACAGGUGCUGCAUGGCUGUCGUCAGCUCGUGUUGUGAGAUGUUGGGUUAACGUCCGCAACGAGCGCAACCCUUAUCCUUUGUUGCCAGCACGUAAUGGUGGGAACUCAAAGGAGACUGCCGGUGAUAAACCGGAGGAAGGUGGGGAUGACGUCAAGUCAUCAUGGCCCUUACGAGUAGGGCUACACACGUGCUACAAUGGCGUAUACAAAGAGAAGCGACCUCGCGAGAGCAAGCGGACCUCAUAAAGUGCGUCGUAGUCCGGAUUGGAGUCUGCAACUCGACUCCAUGAAGUCGGAAUCGCUAGUAAUCGUAAAUCAGAAUGUUACGGUGAAUACGUUCCCGGGCCUUGUACACACCGCCCGUCACACCAUGGGAGUGGGUUGCAAAAGAAGUAGAUAGCUUAACCUUCGGGAGGGCGUUUACCACUUUGUGAUUCAUGACUGGGGUGAAGUCGUAACAAGGUAGGCGUAGUGCU